rnacentral:rRNA from 1 species
GUGCCAGCAGCCGCGGUAAGACGAACCGUGCGAACGUUGUUCGGAAUCACUGGGCUUAAAGGGCGCGUAGGCGGCUUACCAAGUCCGGGGUGAAAUUUUGCGGCUUAACCGUAACAGUGCCUUGGAUACUGGUAGGCUCGAGGGAGAUAGGGGUUCGCGGAACUUCCGGUGGAGCGGUGAAAUGCGUUGAUAUCGGAAGGAACGCCGGUGGCGAAAGCGGCGAACUGGAUCUCUUCUGACGCUGAGGCGCGAAAGCUAGGGGAGCAAACGGGAUUAGAUACCCUCGUAGUCC